GGACGUGAGGGUGAUCUGACUGCAACUUCUGUCACCCCAUUGAUCAUCAGGGUUGAUUUGGCUGAUCUGUCUGGCUAGCCGGGUAUCCCCUUCCUCCCUCACCGCUCCAUGUGUGUCCUAUCCCAAGAUGUGUGCUCGGUGGAAGAGGAUGACAUCUCAGGUAUAGGAUGACAUCUCAAGAGUGACAUCUCAGGAAGAGGAUGACAUCUCAGGAGUGUAUCGAGGUCUCCAUUCUUCAGUCCCAGGUUUACGAUAACUCCAAACAAGUUGUUUCCUAACCAUUUUGUUCCCAAAGGCCCAAGGUUUCCCAUUGAGCUCCAUGCCUGGAUGUACAUUCAACUGAAAUAUUUCCAGUC
rnacentral:snRNA from 1 species